GUCGCGACGACGAGACGCGCGCGGGCGGUCGGUCUACCUAAUACAUGACAGCGAGCGGUAUUGUUCCGUCGGGACAGUAGCGGCGGACGGUGAGUAACACGUAGGUAACCUGCCUAUAAGAUCGGGAUAACUAUCGGAAACGAUAGCUAAGACCGGAUAACUGGUUUUCUCGCAUGAGAGAAUUAUGAAACACGGAGCAAUCUGUGGCUUAUAGAUGGGCCUGCGGCGCAUUAGCUAGUUGGUAGGGUAAUGGCCUACCAAGGCGACGAUGCGUAGCCGACCUGAGAGGGUGAACGGCCACACUGGGACUGAGACACGGCCCAGACUCCUACGGGAGGCAGCAGUAGGAAUCUUCCGCAAUGGACGCAAGUCUGACGGAGCAACGCCGCGUGAGUGAUGAAGGUUUUCGGAUCGUAAAGCUCUGUUGCCCUAGACGAACAGCAAGGCGAGUAACUGCGCUUUGUGUGACGGUAUAGGAGAAGAAAGCCCCGGCUAACUACGUG
rnacentral:rRNA from 1 species